rnacentral:rRNA from 1 species
AUUGAACGCUGGCGGCAGGCCUAACACAUGCAAGUCGGACGGUAGCACAGAGAGCUUGCUCUUGGGUGACGAGUGGCGGACGGGUGAGUAAUGUCUGGGGAUCUGCCCGAUAGAGGGGGAUAACCACUGGAAACGGUGGCUAAUACCGCAUAACGUCGCAAGACCAAAGAGGGGGACCUUCGGGCCUCUCACUAUCGGAUGAACCCAGAUGGGAUUAGCUAGUAGGCGGGGUAAUGGCCCACCUAGGCGACGAUCCCUAGCUGGUCUGAGAGGAUGACCAGCCACACUGGAACUGAGACACGGUCCAGACUCCUACGGGAGGCAGCAGUGGGGAAUAUUGCACAAUGGGCGCAAGCCUGAUGCAGCCAUGCCGCGUGUAUGAAGAAGGCCUUCGGGCUGUAAAGUACUUUCAGCGGGGAGGAAGGCGGUACGGUUAAUAACCGUACCGAUUGACGUUACCCGCAGAAGAAGCACCGGCUAACUCCGUGCCAGCCGCCGCCGUAA